rnacentral:rRNA from 1 species
UAGUCCACGCCGUAAACGAUGAUAACUCGUUGCUGGCGAUACAUUGUCAGUGACCAAGCGAAAGUGUUAAGUUAUCCACCUGGGGAGUACGAUCGCAAGAUUGAAACUCAAAGGAAUUGACGGGGGCCCGCACAAGCGGAGGAACAUGUGGUUUAAUUCGAUGAUACGCGAGGAACCUUACCUGGACUUAAAUGUACGUUGCAUAGAUCAGAGAUGGUCUUUUCUUCGGACUACGUACAAGGUGCUGCAUGGUUGUCGUUAGCUCGUGCCGUGAGGUGUCGGGUUAAGUCCCAUAACGAGCGCAACCCUUAUCCUUAGUUGCCAGCGAGUAAUGUCGGGGACUCUGAGGAGACUGCCACCGUAAGGUGCGAGGAAGGUGGGGAUGACGUCAAAUCAGCACGGCCCUUAUGUCCAGGGCUACACACGUGUUACAAUGGGGGUACAGAGGGUAGCUACCUGGUAACAGGAUGCCAAUCUCAAAAAGCCUCUCUCAGUUCGGAUUGAGGUCUGCAA